rnacentral:rRNA from 1 species
UACGGAGGAUGCGAGCGUUAUCCGGAUUUAUUGGGUUUAAAGGGAGCGCAGACGGGUCGUUAAGUCAGCUGUGAAAGUUUGGGGCUCAACCUUAAAAUUGCAGUUGAUACUGGCGUCCUUGAGUGCGGUUGAGGUGUGCGGAAUUCGUGGUGUAGCGGUGAAAUGCUUAGAUAUCACGAAGAACUCCGAUUGCGAAGGCAGCACACUAAGCCGUAACUGACGUUUAUGCUCGAAAGUGUGGGUAUCAAACAGG